GUGGGGAAUUGUUCACAAUGGGCGCAAGCCUGACGACGCAACGCCGCGUGGAGGAUGAAGAUCUUCGGGUCGUAAACUCCUGUCGAGCGGGACGAAUGCCUUGCCGGUGAAUAUCCGGCGAGGGUGACGGUACCGCUAAAGGAAGCCCCGGCUAACUCCGUGCCAGCAGCCGCGGUAAUACGGGGGGGGCAAGCGUUGUUCGGAAUUACAGGGCGUAAAGGGCCAGUAGGCGGCCAACUAAGUCGGAUGUGAAAUCCCCAGGCUCAACUUGGGAACUGCAUCCGAUACUGGAUGGCUUGAAUUCGGGAGAGGGAUGCAGAAUUCCAGGUGUAGCGGUGAAAUGCGUAGAUAUCUGGAGGAAUACCGGUGGCGAAGGCGGCAUCCUGGACCGACAUUGACGCUGAACGGCGAAAGCUAGGGGAGCAAA
rnacentral:rRNA from 1 species